rnacentral:rRNA from 1 species
UACGAAGGGGGCUAGCGUUGCUCGGAAUCACUGGGCGUAAAGGGCGCGUAGGCGGCGCGGGCAGUCAACGGUGAAAGCUCGGGGCUCAACUCCGAGUCGGCCGUCGAUACUCCCGUGCUCGAGCACUGUAGAGGCAGGUGGAAUUCCGGGUGUAGCGGUGGAAUGCGUAGAGAUCCGGAAGAACACCGGUGGCGAAGGCGGCCUGCUGGGCAGUAGCUGACGCUGAGGCGCGACAGCGUGGGGAGCAAACAGG